ACGGAUGACCUUGGCCUUGUCCGCCCUGCGCUGAGGCUUGGUUACCAGGAGCACAUCAGAGAAGAGGAACAGGAAGGACUCCACAGCUGCAAUCUUGGGGUGCGAGGAGCAGAAGAAGCACAGCUGAACCCAGCCUAUCCACCCAAGGGCAGCUACAGCACUCUAAAACAGGCCUGGCAGUACUGAACGUACGGCAGGAACCGCUGGCCAAACUGGAGCAACAGAUAAAGGGCAGACCGAAGAGGGUCGCGGGCAGACCGAAGAGGGUCGCGGGCAGACCGAAGAGGGUCGCGGGCAGACCGAAGAGGGUCGCGGGCAGACCGAAGAGGGUCGCGGGCAGACUCUGGCUGCAGAACACGGCUGCAGGCUGAGGAGAGAAAGCCUCACGCGGCCCCUCAAUGACGCCCCGGCCAGCCUCUACCUCCCAGGAUGAGCCAGGCCCCUCAUUCUGUGCUCCAGAGAAGAACAGACACCCCGAGAGUCAGGCCCUGGCUACCCCUGGAGUUCAUUCUGUCCGUGGCAUUGGCUGUGCCUGCUCCUCAGGACUCGCUCUCUUUCUAUCAAUAAUUCAGCUCGACUGUUUUCGGCACACUGCGGCUCCUAUUUCUAUGACCUAAAAGUUAUCCAGAAGCCCUGCUCAGAAGGAGGUGGGGAAAAGCUCCCAGGAAACUGCCCUCAUCCCCCGGCUUUUUACCCCAUCCCCAUGUUUCCUGCCGGCCCAGAAACACCAUAGAAAAAGUCUAGACCCAGCUGUCCUUUAUCUCCUACCACUCCACACUCAAUCACUCAACGCCUCUGUGGCCUUUUAUCAACCCCUCUGGCCCCACUACGUCCUCCCAGGCAUCUCCUUGCUUAGGCAUCGUUCUUUCAGAGACUUUUUUUUUUUUUUUUUGUUUUUCGAGACAGGGGUUCUCUGUGUAGCUUUGCGCCU